AUUGAACGCUGGCGGCAGGCCUAACACAUGCAAGUCGAGCGGAUGAAGGGAGCUUGCUCCUGGAUUCAGCGGCGGACGGGUGAGUAAUGCCUAGGAAUCUGCCUGGUAGUGGGGGAUAACGUCCGGAAACGGGCGCUAAUACCGCAUACGUCCUGAGGGAGAAAGUGGGGGAUCUUCGGACCUCACGCUAUCAGAUGAGCCUAGGUCGGAUUAGCUAGUUGGUGGGGUAAAGGCCUACCAAGGCGACGAUCCGUAACUGGUCUGAGAGGAUGAUCAGUCACACGGGAACGGAGCCAGGGACGAGCCACCGAAGGGGGGAGGCAGGGGGGAAUUUUGGACAAGGGGGGAGAGUUUAAUCCACCAAUGCGGGGUGGGGGAAGAAGGUUUUGGGUUUUAAAAGCAUUUUAAGUUGGGGGAAAGGAAAGAAAGUUAAUACCUUGUUUUUUUGAGUUUACCAAAAAAAUAAACACCGGCAAACUUGGUG
rnacentral:rRNA from 1 species